rnacentral:rRNA from 1 species
UUUUAUGAGAGUUUGAUCCUGGCUCAGGACGAACGCUGGCGGCGUGCCUAAUACAUGCAAGUCGAACGCUUCUUUUUCCGCCGGAGCUUGCUCCACCGGAAAAAGAGGAGUGGCGAACGGGUGAGUAACACGUGGGUAACCUGCCCAUCAGAAGGGGAUAACACUUGGAAACAGGUGCUAAUACCGUAUAACAAUCGAAACCGCAUGGUUUUGAUUUGAAAGGCGCUUUCGGGUGUCGCUGAUGGAUGGACCCGCGGUGCAUUAGCUAGUUGGUGAGGUAACGGCUCACCAAGGCCACGAUGCAUAGCCGACCUGAGAGGGUGAUCGGCCACAUUGGGACUGAGACACGGCCCAAACUCCUACGGGAGGCAGCAGUAGGGAAUCUUCGGCAAUGGACGAAAGUCUGACCGAGCAACGCCGCGUGAGUGAAGAAGGUUUUCGGAUCGUAAAACUCUGUUGUUAGAGAAGAACAAGGAUGAGAGUAACUGUUCAUCCCUUGACGGUAUCUAACCAGAAAGCCACGGCUAACUACGUGCCAGCAGCCGCGGUAAUACGUAGGUGGCAAGCGUUGUCCGGAUUUAUUGGGCGUAAAGCGAGCGCAGGCGGUUUCUUAAGUCUGAUGUGAAAGCCCCCGGCUCAACCGGGGAGGGUCAUUGGAAACUGGGAGACUUGAGUGCAGAAGAGGAGAGUGGAAUUCCAUGUGUAGCGGUGAAAUGCGUAGAUAUAUGGAGGAACACCAGUGGCGAAGGCGGCUCUCUGGUCUGUAACUGACGCUGAGGCUCGAAAGCGUGGGGAGCAAACAGGAUUAGAUACCCUGGUAGUCCACGCCGUAAACGAUGAGUGCUAAGUGUUGGAGGGUUUCCGCCCUUCAGUGCUGCAGCUAACGCAUUAAGCACUCCGCCUGGGGAGUACGACCGCAAGGUUGAAACUCAAAGGAAUUGACGGGGGCCCGCACAAGCGGUGGAGCAUGUGGUUUAAUUCGAAGCAACGCGAAGAACCUUACCAGGUCUUGACAUCCUUUGACCACUCUAGAGAUAGAGCUUCCCCUUCGGGGGCAAAGUGACAGGUGGUGCAUGGUUGUCGUCAGCUCGUGUCGUGAGAUGUUGGGUUAAGUCCCGCAACGAGCGCAACCCUUAUUGUUAGUUGCCAUCAUUCAGUUGGGCACUCUAGCAAGACUGCCGGUGACAAACCGGAGGAAGGUGGGGAUGACGUCAAAUCAUCAUGCCCCUUAUGACCUGGGCUACACACGUGCUACAAUGGGAAGUACAACGAGUCGCGAAGUCGCGAGGCUAAGCUAAUCUCUUAAAGCUUCUCUCAGUUCGGAUUGCAGGCUGCAACUCGCCUGCAUGAAGCCGGAAUCGCUAGUAAUCGCGGAUCAGCACGCCGCGGUGAAUACGUUCCCGGGCCUUGUACACACCGCCCGUCACACCACGAGAGUUUGUAACACCCGAAGUCGGUGAGGUAACCUUUUGGAGCCAGCCGCCUAAGGUGGGAUAGAUGAUUGGGGUGAAGUCGUAACAAGGUAGCCGUAUCGGAAGGUGCGGCUGGAUCACCUCCUUU